UCCGGUUUAACACCGGCAGUCUCGUUAGAGUGCCCGGCCGAACCGCUGGCAACUAACGACAAGGGUUGCGCUCGUUGCGGGACUUGACCCAACAUCUCACGACACGAGCUGACGACAGCCAUGCAGCACCUGGACACCCGGUUCCCUUGCGGGCACAUCUCCAUCUCUGAAGACUUCCGGGGGGUUCCAACCCAGGUAAGGUUCUUCGCGUUGCGUCGAAUUGAACCACAUGCUCCACCGCUUGUGCGGGCCCCCGUCAAUUCCUUUGAGUUUCAACCUUGCGGUCGUACUCCCCAGGUGGCUCACUUAACGGUUUCGCUUAGACGCGUACAGUGUAUCGCACACAUCGAGUAUUCAACGUUUACAGCGUGGACUAC
rnacentral:misc_RNA from 1 species